rnacentral:rRNA from 1 species
UACGUAGGGUGCAAGCGUUGUCCGGAAUUAUUGGGCGUAAAGAGCGUGUAGGCGGCCCGAUUAGUCCGCUGUGAAAGUCCAGGGCUCAACCCUGGAAUGCCGGUGGAUACUGUCGGGCUAGAGUCCGGAAGGGGCGAGUGGAAUUCCUGGUGUAGCGGUGAAAUGCGCAGAUAUCAGGAGGAACACCGAUAGCGAAGGCAGCUCGCUGGGACGGUACUGACGCUGAGGCGCGAAAGCGUGGGGAGCGAACAGG